UUAGUUUGGGGCUAAAUCUUAGUUUGACUGGACUAAUUGUAAAAAAAGUUUGAAAAUAACGCAAACAAUUUUUCGAAACCUUUUUUAAACAUGGUAUUACAUUUGUAUAUGUGACAAAUGCAGUUAACAGCAAUUUUGUUGCCAAUUUACCAACUGUGUAGACGCUUUUACCACUGUUCCUGCACUGGUACCUAAGUCAUCAGAAAAUAAAACAACACCACAGAACAAAUCAAUUACACUACAAAUCAUGAUUGUAGGUAAAACAUCAAGAAGCUGUUGCAUCUGUAAUACAACGAAGAGCCCAUUUGUUAAAAUGCCAGACAAGGCCAUAUUACAUGAGUUUGUAACACAAGGUGUUCAAUGGCCAACUAAUGUAUUUAAGUAAGAUGUUGUCCAGUUAAAAUAUAUCUUAUCUUGUCUAUAAAAAAAACCUUAAAGAGCAGGACAAAUACAGAUAUAUACAUAUUUCAGAAUGAGAAAAACAGCAUCCCAUUUGAAUUUGUUCUAUAUUAUUUGGCUUCUUGACAAGUCAUGUGGUAUGGUACCAUAUGCGCAUAAAGGGUGUUAACAAUUAAACAAAAUCAAUAUAAAAAAAUCAAUAGUCUUGGCCUUGUUUUUUGUAGGAAUACCUGUUCAAGGUAUGAAAAUAGAUGAUGUGACCUAUUUUCAAGUACUAUGAUUAGCAUCUAUCUGGUUAUUUAAAACAUGAUUUACCUAUCUUAUCCAAUGAAAAGAACUCUAGGGAAAAUGGCCCUAGCUCUUUAGCCAAAUUAUGAAAAAAAUAAUGUUUUCACAAAAUCCACCUACAUUGAUGAUGUCACAAAUACAUCAAAUGUUGAAAAAAAAUUGAAAUAUAUUAGUAAAACAUUUUAAUUGUAUGUCUUCAUAACAAUAUCACACGUAUAAAAUGAUUUCUUUUUUUUUAAGGUUGUAUGUUCUUUGUGAGGGUUAUUCCAUUAAAAUGUAUCAGGGAGGGAAGUUUAAUUAUUGAACUUGGGUCAUGGGUCGUUAUUCAGUAUGCGUCUAUUAGCAUUAUGAAGAAUUAUCUAAAAAAUUGUUCUUGGUUGUAGGGAUAUUUUGAAAGUCCCUACCUACCCUCCCACAUACAAUUAAAUGGAAUAGCCCUCACAAACUUUUUUUGCUUAUUAGCAUAGAUGCAAUAAUAACAUUAACUGAAUGAUUUAUUAAUUGUAAUGUUUGUGGCUCAUGUUGACUGAAAUGACAUUGAAUGAAAUAAAGUUUGUACCAAAA
rnacentral:lncRNA from 1 species